GGGCUGGGCAAGAUGGCGGCUUUCGGGAUCUUGAGCUAUGAACACCGACCCCUGAAGCGGCUGCGGCUGGGGCCUCCCGAUGUGUACCCUCAAGAUCCCAAACAGAAGGAGGAUGAACUGACGGCUUUGAAUGUAAAACAAGGUUUCAAUAACCAGCCUGCUGUCUCUGGGGAUGAACAUGGCAGUGCCAAGAACGUCAACUUCAAUCCUGCCAAGAUCAGUUCCAACUUCAGCAGCAUCAUCGCAGAGAAGUUAAGGUGUAAUACUCUCUCUGACACUGGUCGAAGGAAGUCCCUAAUGAACCAGAAGGACAACUUCUGGCUGGUGACUGCAAGAUCUCAGAGUGCUAUUAACACCUGGUUCACUGACCUAGCUGGCACCAAACCACUC
rnacentral:lncRNA from 1 species